rnacentral:rRNA from 1 species
UCCGGCGGAGGCGGUACAUUUCUAGCUUGCUAGAGAUGACGAGCGGCGGACGGGUGAGUAAUGCUUGGGAACAUGCCUUGAGGUGGGGGACAACCAUUGGAAACGAUGGCUAAUACCGCAUAAUGUCUACGGACCAAAGGGGGCUUCGGCUCUCGCCUUUAGAUUGGCCCAAGUGGGAUUAGCUAGUUGGUGAGGUAAAGGCUCACCAAGGCGACGAUCCCUAGCUGGUUUGAGAGGAUGAUCAGCCACACUGGAACUGAGACACGGUCCAGACUCCUACGGGAGGCAGCAGUGGGGAAUAUUGCACAAUGGGCGCAAGCCUGAUGCAGCCAUGCCGCGUGUGUGAAGAAGGCCUUCGGGUUGUAAAGCACUUUCAGUCAGGAGGAAAGGUUAGUAGUUAAUACCUGCUAGCUGUGACGUUACUGACAGAAGAAGCACCGGCUAACUCCGUGCCAGCAGCCGCGGUAAUACGGAGGGUGCGAGCGUUAAUCGGAAUUACUGGGCGUAAAGCGUACGCAGGCGGUUUGUUAAGCGAGAUGUGAAAGCCCCGGGCUUAACCUGGGAACUGCAUUUCGAACUGGCAAACUAGAGUGUGAUAGAGGGUGGUAGAAUUUCAGGUGUAGCGGUGAAAUGCGUAGAGAUCUGAAGGAAUACCGAUGGCGAAGGCAGCCACCUGGGUCAACACUGACGCUCAUGUACGAAAGCGUGGGGAGCAAACAGGAUUAGAUACCCUGGUAGUCCACGCCGUAAACGAUGUCUACUAGGAGCUGGGGUCUUCGGACAACUUUUCCAAAGCUAACGCAUUAAGUAGACCGCCUGGGGAGUACGGCCGCAAGGUUAAAACUCAAAUGAAUUGACGGGGGCCCGCACAAGCGGUGGAGCAUGUGGUUUAAUUCGAUGCAACGCGAAGAACCUUACCUACACUUGACAUACAGAGAACUUACCAGAGAUGGUUUGGUUGCCCUUCGGGAACUCUGAUACAGGUGCUGCAUGGCUGUCGUCAGCUCGUGUUGUGAGAUGUUGGGUUUAGGUCCCGCAACGAGCGCAAUCCCUAUCCUUAGUUGCCAGCGAUUCCGUCGGGAACUCUAGGAGACUGCCGGUGAUAAACCGAGAGGUGGGGACGACGUCAGUCAUCAUGGUCCUUUACGUGUAAGGCCUACACACCGUGCCUAACAAUGGCAGGUACGGAGAGCAGCGAGCCUAGCGAUAGUGAGGCGAUCAUAAGGCUGGUCGUAGUUAGAAUGCAGUCUGCAACUCGAACUCAUGAAGUUCGAAUCGCGUUGAGUAUUCCCGGAA